rnacentral:rRNA from 1 species
AGUGAACGCUGGCGGUAGGCCUAACACAUGCAAGUCGAACGGCAGCACAGUAAGAGCUUGCUCUUACGGGUGGCGAGUGGCGGACGGGUGAGGAAUACAUCGGAAUCUACUUUUUCGUGGGGGAUAACGUAGGGAAACUUACGCUAAUACCGCAUACGACCUACGGGUGAAAGCAGGGGAUCUUCGGACCUUGCGCGAUUGAAUGAGCCGAUGUCGGAUUAGCUAGUUGGCGGGGUAAAGGCCCACCAAGGCGACGAUCCGUAGCUGGUCUGAGAGGAUGAUCAGCCACACUGGAACUGAGACACAGUCCAGACUCCUACGGGAGGCAGCAGUGGGGAAUAUUGGACAAAGGGCGCAAGCCUGAUCCGGCCAUACCGCGUGGGUGAAGAAGGCCUUCGGGUUGUAAAGCCCUUUUGUUGGGAAAGAAAAGCAGCAGGUUAAUACCCCGCUGUUCUGACGGUACCCAAAGAAUAAGCACCGGCUAACUUCGUG